rnacentral:snRNA from 1 species
GAUUGGACACCCGAAGCUAUCCGUUAAAAUUGGAACGAUACAGAGAAGAUUAGCAUGGCCCCUGCACAAGGAUGACAC